GGAAGCCGGUGGGAGAGGACGAUGGCCGAAGGGGGAGGAGGCGGCCCUAGCGCCAUUUUGUGGGAGCGAAGUGGUAGCUGGGCUGCUCUUGGAUUCCUCCCUGCUUCAGUCUCACUGUCGGGCUUCCUAGCAGCGGCCUAGCGGAGAAACAAAGAUGUCUGAAUAUAUUCGGGUAACAGAAGAUGAGAAUGACGAGCCCAUUGAAAUACCAUCGGAAGACGAUGGGACAGUGCUGCUGUCCACGGUUACAGCCCAGUUUCCAGGGGCAUGUGGGCUGCGCUACCGGAAUCCAGUGUCUCAGUGUAUGAGAGGUGUUCGUCUGGUAGAAGGAAUUCUGCACGCCCCCGAUGCUGGCUGGGGGAAUCUGGUGUAUGUUGUCAACUAUCCCAAAGAUAACAAAAGAAAAAUGGAUGAAACAGAUGCUUCAUCAGCAGUGAAAGUGAAAAGAGCGGUCCAGAAAACGUCUGAUUUGAUAGUGUUGGGUCUCCCGUGGAAAACAACCGAACAGGAUCUGAAAGAUUACUUCAGUACCUUUGGAGAAGUUCUUAUGGUUCAGGUCAAGAAGGAUAUUAAAACUGGUCAUUCAAAAGGGUUUGGCUUUGUUCGCUUCACGGAAUAUGAAACCCAGGUGAAAGUAAUGUCACAACGACAUAUGAUAGAUGGACGAUGGUGUGACUGUAAACUUCCAAAUUCUAAGCAAAGCCCAGAUGAGCCUUUGAGAAGCAGAAAGGUGUUUGUUGGGCGUUGUACAGAGGACAUGACUGCUGAUGAACUGCGGCAGUUCUUUUGCCAGUAUGGAGAAGUGGUAGAUGUCUUCAUCCCCAAACCGUUCAGGGCUUUUGCCUUUGUUACGUUUGCAGAUGAUCAGGUUGCCCAGUCUCUUUGUGGAGAGGACUUGAUCAUUAAAGGAAUCAGCGUACAUAUAUCCAAUGCUGAACCUAAGCACAAUAGCAAUAGACAGUUAGAAAGAAGUGGAAGAUUUGGUGGUAAUCCAGGUGGCUUUGGGAAUCAGGGUGGAUUUGGAAACAGUCGAGGGGGUGGAGCGGGUUUGGGAAACAAUCAGGGUAGUAAUAUGGGUGGAGGGAUGAACUUUGGUGCUUUUAGCAUUAACCCAGCAAUGAUGGCUGCAGCCCAGGCUGCUCUGCAGAGCAGCUGGGGUAUGAUGGGCAUGUUAGCCAGUCAGCAGAACCAGUCUGGCCCAUCAGGUAAUAACCAAAGCCAAGGCAACAUGCAGAGGGAGCCAAAUCAGGCUUUUGGUUCUGGAAAUAACUCUUACAGUGGUUCUAAUUCAGGUGCAGCAAUUGGUUGGGGAUCAGCAUCAAAUGCAGGGUCAGGCAGUGGUUUUAAUGGAGGCUUCGGCUCUAGCAUGGAUUCUAAAUCUUCUGGCUGGGGAAUGUAGACAUUGGGUUACGGUUAGUUGGUAUACUGGUGGGAAUUCAAAUUUUUCUAAACUCAUGGUAAGUAUAUUGUAAAAUAACAUAUGUAAGAAUUUUCAAAAUUGGUUUGUUCAGUGUGGAGUAUAUUCAGCAGUAUUUUUGACAUUUUUCUUUAGAAAAAGAGGAAGAGCUAAAGGAAUUUUAUAAGUUUUGUUACAUAAAGGGUUGAAAUAUUGAGUGUUUGAACGUGAACUGCUGUUUGCCUGAUUGGUAAACCAACACACUACAAUUGAUAUCAAAGGGUUUCUCCUGUAAUAUUUUAUCCCUGGACUUGUCAAGUGAAUUCUUUGCAUGUUCAAAAUGGAAACCAUUGAUUAGAACUACAUUCUUUUCUCCUUGUUUUAAUUUGAACCCCGCCAUAUGGAUUUUUUUUCCUUAGGAAAAUCUCCUCUUUGGAGAUGAAGGUGUCACAGUGCUUGGUUCUUUUUUUUGUUUUGUUUUUGUUUUUGUUUUAACACUUGUCUCCCUUCAUAUACAAAAGUACAAUAUGAAGCCUUCAUUUAAUCUCUGCAGUUCAUCUCAUUUCAAAUGUUUAUGGAAGAAGCACUUCAUUGAAAGUAGUGCUGUAAAUAUUCUGCCAUAGGAAUACUUCUGUCUACAUGCUUUCUCAUUCAAGAACUCGCCAUCAUGCUGCGCAGGCUGCGUCUUUGACGUUUUUAAUAAGUCUGGGUGACCGCACCUAAAAUGCACUUGCACUAUUACUCAGCAGCAGUAACAUGGUAACACUUAAAAUGGUAUUCGGGGACCUCCAAAGACUAAACUGACAAGCCUUCAAGAAGCCCAGGGGUAAGUUAACUUUGUCAAUGGCAUGGUUUUAAUCCCUUAUUUACACUUGUAUAAAUCUAGUUACCAGUCUUAGAAGGCUUUCAAUGUUGAGUAGCCUUCUGUUAACAUGUUUAUGGUACUACAUAGCUAUGGGUAUUUAAUUCUACCCUAAAAAAAAAAAAAAAUUGAAGUUUAGAAGUAAACUAUUUGGCAAAGAUGUUUUUAAAGUCUAUUUGGUCAUCUAAAUGCAUUCAUUCUAAAAACUUUUUUGAACCAGUUGAAUAAAAAUUUUUGUUGCCACCACAGUUUAGUGUCUGGAGUCUUACUGGAAAAAUACAGUUUCUUUAUUUAUGUGACAGAGAUGCUGGAAAGUUACCUUUAAAAAGUGAGUCUCUAGAAGUUGCACUUUAUAUGUACAAGAGAAGUUAGUUGAAAUCACAGUGAAUUUCUACAUAAUGAUGGUGACUCUGGCUAGAAUGAGAAAUUUUGUUGAGUGUUAGGUGUUAAAACUUUUUAGGGAGGCCAAUUAAAUGAAAUAUUUCAAGGUUAGGUCAGGGCUCAAAUUUUGUCCUUUGGAAAAAGAUGUUGAGUACAUAGUAAUUCAGAUGUAUGUGAUAAUUAGAAUAAUUUUUUGUUGUUGAUUACUAGGAGAGUAACUCUUAACUGUGUAUUUAAGUUCUGUACUCAGCUGUUAUAUGAUCUGUAAUCUAUUUUUUAAAGUGUACCCAAGUAUUUCAUGUUUGUGGUAAGAAGAAAAAAACACUACAUUUACCAAUAAUACCACCAUUUAUUUUUAAUGUAUUUCAUCUUAUGGAAAUGCCACUUUUGAUUCAACUAACUGUCUUCUGAAUUUGAACAUUAUUUAGGUUAUUUCCAAGUGCUAGGAAUAUUCUCACAGCUAAAUUAAAAUCUUAGCAUUGUAAUUACCAGGUCAAAGACUAUGCAUGCUUUUAAGACUUGUGAAAUAUAUUGCCAGAUUGUCCUUUAGAAAGUCUGUUGUCUUUGACGAUGUGAAAUAGUGCUGUUCGUGUUCUUUGUUUGGCAGUUUUUUCUAAUUAAAAAAUUAUAGUGUUGGUUUUAACAUGGAAAUCAGUCUAUACCUAGGCCAAAGUGUUGCUAUUUCCAAUUUAUCUACCCAAGAAAAACAUUCAAAGUAACUCAUGAACCAAUACUGCUGUAAUAUGUAACACUCUCAGAUCAAUAAGAACAAAUACAAAAACAGUUAAAGAACAUGAACAGGAAAUUUCCAGAAAUGCAAAUAGAUAGUAGAAAAAGACACUGGACUUCGUUAAGUAAGUGCAGAUUUAAUCCAUGAGUUUGUAAUGGAUUGGCCAAGAUGAGUAUCACUACAGUGGCUUAUGUCCCCUUGAAUCACAGAGUUAAGUGGUGGAAAAGUGGCUAGUGGACACGUGCCUGAUAGGCAGGCUCACCUGCAGUCUGGGUCGGGUGGGGUGGAUCAGCAGCGCUCGUGUUCAUGUUUCUCAGGUCAAUUUGCCGCUAAGAUCUUUUACGGGUAUUUUUUUAAAACAAAGAAGCACGUACUGACUGAAGACACAAAGUUAAAAAUUACUAUUAAUAAUUCUCUUGAUCCAGGGAAUGUAGUUUAUGACUUUGGUGUAGACCCCAUACUGAUCUGCUUCCCCACAAUUAAUGGAACCCCAGGACACUAUUCCUCCCACAAACCACUUCUGGGUCUCAUUAUCUAGAAACACUAAUGCCCCCCCACUGUCACCUCUACAGCUGUCCUUGCCCCCACUUUGCAAGCCAGCGCAAAGCAUGUUAUCAGUUACCCUUCCCUCUGGAUAGGACUUCUUUUCGUAGGCAGCAGUACAUUUUUGAUGGUCAACAACUGGUAUGUCAACAAACUUUAGAUUUCUGGCAAGAAACCCCCUUUGGGUUAAUCCCCAUCCAGAUGCAGUUCCGAUGUCAUUUGUUCUCAUGAAAGAUUCCGCUUCUUUUCUUGGCAAACAAAUAGGCAUGAUGUUGCUGUUGAUUACAACUUUGUUCUUCAGUUUAAUCAGUGCUAUGUCAUUAUCAUAACCAGCAUCAUGAAUGUAACUUUCAUGUAUAAAAAUGGCCUCGGCCCAGGCUUGUGUAUAAUUAGGUGAUAUUCUCUUCAGGGCCCCCAUUCUGAUCUGCAGGGAGGCAGCAUCUUCUCUUUGGUCAUAAACAGCAUGAGCAGCCGUUAGGAUCCAGUUGUCGUGCAGCAGUGCACCUGCUGCCAUGGUUUUACCUAGUAACAGCGCUUGCCAAGGAAAAUAACCAAGUUUUGCAUUUUGUCCUCCAUAUAUACGACCUUCUGUAGUACGAGUGGAUAUUCCACACACUGGGGAAAGAAGCAGAUGUAUAGAGCCUUUACAGAAACCUGAUGGUGUUUUUCUCCAAUUAUUACCACUUUGAAGUUAUCAGUUACUCAUGUUUGAUGUCAGCCAAAGAUUGCAUCACACAAAUUGGUGUUUGUCCACCUAUACAGGCAAGUGAGUGUAGUUUAUGUUGUUUUACUGCUUAAAACAUUGUUCAAAGAUCUGAUAAAACCAUUUGGUGUUUCUUAGCUCCUCAGAAAAUGAAGUGAGUGAAAAUUAAUUUGUAGAAGCUAAUUCAUUUUGCCAAAGUAACUUGGUCUUAGGACUGGGAAGUGUUCAGUAGGGCUAAUAGGAAUUGUCUGAGCUGGUAUGCGCAGGAAGUGAAUUGCAAAUGGAUAGUAGAAAAAGACACUGGACUUUGUUAAGUCCAUUGCUUCUAUUUUCCUGCUUGUAAAAUGGAGUAUCUACCAUGAGUUCUGGGAAAGCAGAAACUAGGGUCAAUAUCAUAUGAUUUGCUUCUAUUUUCCUGCUUGUAAAAUGGGGUAUCUACCAUGUAGUUCUGGGAAAGCAGAAACUCGGGUCAAUAUCAUAGGAUUUGCAGACUACUUUCACCUUUGAACAUUUAAAUGUUUUAAAAAUAAGAAUGUUACAGUUGUAGCCAGGAACCUUCAGUUUCAGGAAUUAUUUCUGGUCUAGUUGUUCCUUCCAGACACUAGACUUUAUAUUGCUAACUGAAUAUACUUAUUAAUGUAACAAAUAUGUUUCCUCUUGUGGCAGAAUACUCUUAUGAAAGCUUACAAACAGUGUGUCAACUGAGAAGACUAAAUAAACCCAGUAGCAGGGGUAAUGGAUAUAUUGUUACUUUUCUAACUUUUUUUCUUUUUUGUCAACUAUAUCUUCAGAGCCAAUUCUGGUAAAAACUUUUUCUAAGUACUAUUAAAAGGCAAAUUGCAUUAAUGUUUAAAAACUAGAUGUCAUUGGAAACAAUUGCUUAGGGAAAUAAUGAGGUUAUUAGCUUUGAGGUUAUGGCUUUGGUAAUAGCAUUUCUAUAGAGAAGAAACGUAACAGAAGAACUCAUGUUUAUAAAUGUAUAAAUGGUUCAAGAUAAUUUUAAGUAUUUAAUUUUUUAUGCUUGCCUAGUUGUAAGGUCAAAAAUAAUCAAAUGACUGAUGCAGUCAGCACCUAACAAACCUCUCCAUAUGGAAAGGGGUAAUGAGAACAUACUAUUUGGAAAUAAUAAGUUGGUCUAAGAGCCAAGUGCUGAAGUUACAUUUCUGCCUACACAGCUAAAGCGCUGCUUACUGUCUUCAGUUCUACUUUCCAUCAAUUACAAAUCUCUUGUAUAAAUGUAUCCAUUACCAGGCUCACAGACUGGGAGUGAUUUUUCUCCUUUGGAGCUCGUCCAGAAUCCAUCAGCCUCACACACAUAUUUACCUGCAAAUCAUUGGAAAAACAAAAAUGUUUAACUGCAUGUAAACGGUGUUUGUCAUUUGCUUGAAUACCCCCUUGGAAAAUGUUGAUUCUUGAGCAUCAGUGGGAAAUAGAGGUGUCUGAAUAACCGUUUUACAUGAUUUCAUAAAUAGGAGGUCUCUGCAUUACCAUGUUUGCUUGCAAAGUGGAAACCUUUUAGAUGUGUAACUUGAAUAUGUAUCAAGAUCUCAAGUGCUUAAUGAUAAGGUUUUGACUUGUUAAAUUAAACCAUUUGGAAUAUA